ACUCCUACGGGAGGCAGCAUGGGUAGGUAUUGAUGCAAUGGGGGAAACCCUGAUCCAGCCAUGCCGCGUGUGUGAAGAAGGCCUUCGGGUUGUAAAGCACUUUCAGUGGGGAGGAAGGUAGUGUAGUUAACACCUGCAUUAUUUGACGUUACCUACAGAAGAAGCACCGGCUAACUCCGUGCCAGCAGCCGCGGUAAUACGGAGGGUGCGAGCGUUAAUCGGAAUUACUGGGCGUAAAGCGCAUGCAGGCGGCCUGUUAAGUCAGAUGUGAAAGCCCGGGGCUUAACCUCGGAAUUGCAUUUGAAACUGGCAGGCUAGAGUCUUGUAGAGGGGGGUAGAAUUUCAGGUGUAGCGGUGAAAUGCGUAGAGAUCUGAAGGAAUACCAGUGGCGAAGGCGGCCCCCUGGACAAAGACUGACGCUCAGAUGCGAAAGCGUGGGGAGCAAACAGGAUUAGAUACCCUGGUAGGAUAG
rnacentral:rRNA from 1 species